AUAUGUGUGUGGGAGGGUGCUUUAAAAGAGCCCUUCAGAAAGCAUCAUCAAUCUUUCUGACUGUACUCACCUGGUCUCCACGGCACACUGCAACUGUGAGCUUCAGUGACUGCUUCUGCAAUGCAUCCUGGCCUCCUUCAGAGCAGAAAAGCUGCUGCAGGAAAAGUACUAAAAUGAAAAAGAAUGGCAUAUGUGAUGAGCAGUAACCUGACUGUCCCCAUACAGCACUCAGAAACAAGGGUCUUCCCCUAAAAAGACAUCUCUGCUGAGCUCUUGGCAGAGUGCAAGCCCCUGGGAAUGAGCAAACUACAUCUUCCUCAAUUUGAUUGACUGGGAAGAGUCACUGCCGAUAAAGGUAUAGAGCUGGAAUUGGGUUAUAAAGCCAAACCAACAAACUCUACAGUAUAUGGGGAAUGUCCGCAGCCAAGCAGAUAGGGCAGCUUUGAUCACUGGAGGUCAUAAAUCUGGAUCUUACCUCUUCGUUUAAAGAAGCAUGUGUGGAUAUUUCGUAUUCCAAUUCUACUCAUUAAUUAAUUUGAUUAUGAGGUCUAUCUUGUGCACCACUUUGGCCUUAUGAUGAAUAGGGAGAGCGAUAAUCACCGUAAGAAUGAAGGAAUUUACUGUCUGAACUUCCUUAUAUGUAAGGUAAGAAAUAAAUGUAAUGUAUACUCCUUUAAGUAAUGUAGAUAAAUAAAAUAGUCAAUUU